CACGUAGGGACCAAGCGUUGUCCGGAUUCAUUGGGCGUAAAGAGCUCGUAGGCGGUUCGAUAAGUCGGGUGUGAAACCUCCAGGCUCAACCUGGAGACGCCACCCGAUACUGUCGUGACUAGAGUCCAGUAGGGGAGCGUGGAAUUCCUGGUGUAGCGGUGAAAUGCGCAGAUAUCAGGAGGAACACCAACGGCGAAGGCGGCGCUCUGGGCUGGAACUGACGCUGAGGAGCGAAAGCGUGGGGAGCGAACAGG
rnacentral:rRNA from 1 species